GACGUAGGGGGCCAGCGUUGCUCGGAAUUACUGGGCGUCAAGGGUUCGUAGGCGGUGUGGCACGUCGGAAGUGAAAUCUCCAGGCUUAACUUGGAGGCUGCUUCCGAAACUGCCGUGCUAGAGUGCGGGAGAGGCCAGUGGAAUUGCAGGUGUAGCGGUGAAAUGCGUAGAUAUCCGUAGGAACAUCCGAGGCGAAGGCGGCUCGCUGGAUCACAACUGACGCUGAGGGACGAAAGCUAGGGGAGCAAACAGG
rnacentral:rRNA from 1 species